UUUUUUUUAUCGUUUUCUCCGCAGCAGAUAGAAGUGAAAAAUAUAUAUUGAGGAUCCUGUACAAGCUCUGUGCACUGCAUAUACGGAGAAUUCAGCUAAUGGAGCAGAUUGACUGGAAUGGACGCUUCUCACUUUGCAGCAACAGCAGAUUGAAAAAUAUUCAAUAAAACUGUGCGAGACAUCUGUAUACAAAGGACCCGCGAUUAUGACGGAGACGUUCGUGGAGCUGAGGAGCUGCGACACCAUCGUUUCGUUUUUGCUUAUAAUAUUUUUUGAAUUAUUUUUCAAAACGAAUUUAUUGUUCUAUGUUAUUUC